rnacentral:rRNA from 1 species
UCUUGGUCAUUUAGAGGAAGUAAAAGUCGUAACAAGGUUUCCGUAGGUGAACCUGCGGAAGGAUCAUUAAAGAAAUUUAAUAAUUUUGAAAAUGGAUUUUUUUUUUUUUGUUUUGGCAAGAGCAUGAGAGCUUUUACUGGGCAAGAAGACAAGAGAUGGAGAGUCCAGCCGGGCCUGCGCUUAAGUGCGCGGUCUUGCUAGGCUUGUAAGUUUCUUUCUUGCUAUUCCAAACGGUGAGAGAUUUCUGUGCUUUUGUUAUAGGACAAUUAAAACCGUUUCAAUACAACACACUGUGGAGUUUUCAUAUCUUUGCAACUUUUUCUUUGGGCAUUCGAGCAAUCGGGGCCCAGAGGUUAACAAACACAAACAAUUUUAUCUAUUCAUUAAAUUUUUGUCAAAAACAAGAAUUUUCGUAACUGGAAAUUUUAAAAUAUUAAAAACUUUCAACAACGGAUCUCUUGGUUCUCGCAUCGAUGAAGAACGCAGCGAAAUGCGAUACGUAAUGUGAAUUGCAGAAUUCCGUGAAUCAUCGAAUCUUUGAACGCACAUUGCGCCCCUUGGUAUUCCAGGGGGCAUGCCUGUUUGAGCGUCAUUUCCUUCUCAAACAUUCUGUUUGGUAGUGAGUGAUACUCUUUGGAGUUAACUUGAAAUUGCUGGCCUUUUCAUUGGAUGUUUUUUUUUUCCAAAGAGAGGUUUCUCUGCGUGCUUGAGGUAUAAUGCAAGUACGGUCGUUUUAGGUUUUACCAACUGCGGCUAAUCUUCUUUUAUACUGAGCGUAUUGGAACGUUAUCGAUAAGAAGAGAGCGUCUAGGCGAACAAUGUUCUUAAAGUUUGACCUCAAAUCAGGUAGGAGUACCCGCUGAACUUAAGCAUAUCAAUAAGCGGAG